CUAUAAAAGAUGUAACAGAUGCAAACUGUAAAACAGGGACGAUUAACCCUUGCUCUCCUGAACCGAAUGCAUCCUACCCUUGCCUUUUGUCUGCUCUCUUUUAUUUCUAUGCGAGGCUCUCUGGCC
rnacentral:sRNA from 1 species